GGUUGAUCCUGCCAGUAGUCAUAUGCUUGUCUCAAAGAUUAAGCCAUGCAUGUCUAAGUAUAAACAUCUUUAUACUGUGAAACUGCGUACGGCUCAUUAUAUCAGUAAUUAUUCAUUUGAUGGUACCUUACUACAUGGAUAACCGUAGUAAUUCUAGAGCUAAUACAUGCGCAAAGUCCCGACUCGCAAGGGAAGGGAUGUAUUUAUUAGAUAAAAAACCAAUGCGGGCUUUGCCCGGUCUUUUGGUGACUCAUAGUAACUGUUCGAACCGCAUGACCUUGCGUCGGCGGUAG
rnacentral:rRNA from 1 species